rnacentral:rRNA from 1 species
GAUGAACGCUAGCUACAGGCUUAACACAUGCAAGUCGAGGGGCAGCAUUUUUAUAGCAAUAUAAAAGAUGGCGACCGGCGCACGGGUGAGUAACACGUAUCCAACCUGCCGAUAACUCGGGGAUAACCCUUCGAAAGAAGGCCUAAUACCCGAUGGCAUAUCCCUUCCGCCUGGUUGGGAUAUUAAAGAACUUCGGUUAUCGAUGGGGAUGCGUUCCAUUAGCUUGUUGGUGGGGUAACGGCCUACCAAGGCGACGAUGCAUAGCCGACCUGAGAGGGCGAACGGCCACAUUGGGACUGAGACACGGCCCAA